AAUCUGCAGCCUUGGAAUUGCCCUUAGUUGCUCUUGUACUCUGGGCAUAUUGGCUUUGCAGAAAGAGUAUCUGACUGAGGAAGCCGAGGCAGGACUGUAAAAAGUAGCAUCCGCUCCAUGUGCAAUGUUCCUCUGACAUGUGCAGUACUGUUGCCACGGAGAUAAUGAUUGUCCUAGUGUCAUUAUCCAUCUAUCAACAGUAAGAGUGAAUUUGCUGUAUGAUAUUGUUCAGCAAAUGGAGCAUUUCUGCUGAACACUAAAAACUGCUACAUAU
rnacentral:snoRNA from 1 species